UUCCCAUAGUUGAAAAUGACAACGGUAGCCUUUCACGCUGCAAGCUUGGGUUAGACCCCCAAUGAGAAU
rnacentral:tRNA from 1 species